GGAGAGGUGCCGGAGCGGUCGAACGGGCCGGUUUUGAAAACCGGUGACGGGUUUACUCGUCCGCGGGUUCGAAUCCCGCCCUCUCCG
rnacentral:tRNA from 1 species